GGUGGAGAUGUGAUGGAGACCACGGGUUCCAUCCCAUGUUGAUUAUUGAUAUUAUGUUGUUUUCAGUUCAAAUGUGUUUGUAUUAGUUCUUUGUUUAACUGGGAUGAAGGGUGCUGGUGUAAUGAAGAUUUGGAGCUCCCAAAUAAAUCCACCUCAAAGACA